rnacentral:rRNA from 1 species
GACGAACGCUGGCGGCGUGCUUAACACAUGCAAGUCGAACGGAAAGGCCCUGCUUUUGUGGGGUGCUCGAGUGGCGAACGGGUGAGUAACACGUGAGUAACCUGCCCUUGACUUUGGGAUAACUUCAUGAAACUGGGGCUAAUACCGGAUAGGAGCUCCUGCUGCAUGGUGGGGGUUGGAAAGUUUCGGCGGUUGGGGAUGGACUCGCGGCUUAUCAGCUUGUUGGUGGGGUAGUGGCUUACCAAGGCUUUGACGGGUAGCCGGCCUGAGGGGGUGACCGGCCACAUUGGGACUGAGAUACGGCCCAGAACCCUCCGGGCGGCAGCAGUGGGGAAUCUUGCACAAUGGGCGGAAGCCUGAGGCAGCAACGCCGCGUGCGGGAUGACGGCCUUCGGGUUGUAACCCGCUUUCGCCUGUGACGAAGCGUGAGUGACGGUAAUGGGUAAAGAAGCCCCGGCUAACUCCGUG